CUACGAGGCGCUGCAGUGGGGAAUAUUGCACAAUGGAGGAAACUCUGAUGCAGCAACGCCGCGUGGAGGAUGACACUUUUCGGAGCGUAAACUCCUUUUAUAUAGGAAGAAGAUGACGGUACUAUAUGAAUAAGCGCCGGCUAACUCCGUGCCAGCAGCCGCGGUAAUACGGAGGGCGCAAGCGUUACUCGGAAUCACUGGGCGUAAAGAGCGUGUAGGCGGAUUAAAAAGUCAGAAGUGAAAUCCUAUAGCUUAACUAUAGAACUGCUUCUGAAACUCUUAAUCUAGAAUAUGGGAGAGGUAGAUGGAAUUUCUGGUGUAGGGGUAAAAUCCGUAGAGAUCAGAAGGAAUACCGAUUGCGAAGGCGAUCUACUAGAACAUUAUUGACGCUGAGACGCGAAAGCGUGGGGAGCAAACAGGAUUAGAUACCCCUGUAGUC
rnacentral:rRNA from 1 species